rnacentral:rRNA from 1 species
UACGAAGGGGGCUAGCGUUGCUCGGAAUCACUGGGCGUAAAGGGUGCGUAGGCGGGUCUUUAAGUCAGGGGUGAAAUCCUGGAGCUCAACUCCAGAACUGCCUUUGAUACUGAAGAUCUUGAGUUCGGGAGAGGUGAGUGGAACUGCGAAGUGUAGAGGUGAAAUUCGUAGAUAUUCGCAAGAACACCAGUGGCGAAGGCGGCUCACUGGCCCGAUACUGACGCUGAGGCACGAAAGCGUGGGGAGCA